rnacentral:misc_RNA from 1 species
UUUCCGUAGGUGAACCUGCGGAAGGAUCAUUCCUAAUAUGUGUUUUACUGCACUUUUUAAACAAGUCCUCUCCUUGUGUGCAAUGUUUGCUGACAUCGUCGUUCACGCUUCGCGUCCGCCUACUACCAACCCUUUAUUGAAACUUUUUUGUCUGAAGAUAUUUUGAAUAAAUAUUUCUAAAUACAACUUUCAACAACGGAUCUCUUGGCUCUC